ACUCAAAGGAAUAGACGGGGACCCGCACAAGCGGUGGAGCAUGUUGUUUAAUUCGACGCAACGCGAAGAACCUUACCUACGCUUGACAUACCAAGUAUGGAUACCAGAGAUGGAAUCCUUCAGUUCGGCUGGCUUGGAUACAGGUGCUGCAUGGCUGUCGUCAGCUCGUGUCGUGAGAUGUUGGGUUAAGUCCCGCAACGAGCGCAACCCUUAUCGUUAGUUGCCAUCAUUCAGUUGGGCACUCUAGUGAGACUGCCGGUGACAAGCCGGAGGAAGGUGGGGACGACGUCAAGUCAUCAUGGCCCUUACGCGUAGGGCUACAAACGUGCUACAAUGGCGGUGACAAUGGGCUCCGAGGCAGCGAUGCCAAGGAAAUCCCAAAAAGCCGUCUCAGUUCGGAUUGUUCUCUGCAACUCGAGAGCAUGAAGUUGGAAUCGCUAGUAAUCGUGGAUCAGCAUGCCACGGUGAAUACGUUCCCGGGUCUUGUACACACCGCCCGU
rnacentral:rRNA from 1 species